CUUGGCAGGGGGUUGGACUGGAUGGUCCACAAAGUCUCUUCCAACUCUAUGAUUCUAUGAUCAGCCACUGAUUGAGGUUCUGGGUUCUUAUCUGCCACUUUUGGACUCUCGUUUGCUGCGGUGUUCCUGUCAGAUGUUCCCACCUCAACAUCUUUAAACUUGCUCACCCAACGAUGCACAGUACUCACAUCAACACAAUCACCAUAAACAGCUUGCAUUCUCUGAUGAA